UUUUUUUGUUGUGUCUCUGCCAUGUUUUGGUAUCAAGAUAAUGCCUCAUAAAAUGAGUUAGGGAGGAGUCCCUCUUUUUGUAUUGUUUGAAAUAGUUUCGGAAGGAAUGAUACCAGCUCCUCUUUGUACCUCUGGUAGAAUUCGGCUGUGAAUCCAUCUGGUCCUGGGCUUUUUUUUGGUUGGUAGGCUAUUCAUUUCUGCCUCAAUUUCAGAACUUGUUGUUGGUCUAUUCAGGGAUUCGACUUCUGCCUGGUUUAGUCCUGGGAGGGUGAAUGUGUCCAGGAAUUUACCCAUUUCUUCUAGAUUUUCUAGUUUAUUUGCAUAGAGGUGUUUAUAGUAUUCUCUGAUGGUAGUUUGUAUUUCUGUGGGAUUAGUUGUGAUGUCCCCUUUAUCAUUUUCUCUUGUAUCUAUUUGAUUCUUCUCUCUUUUCUUCUUUAUUAGUCUGGCUAGUGGUCUAUCUGUUUUGUUAAUCUUCAGAAAACUAGCUCCUGGAUUCAUUGAUUUUUUGAAAGGUUUUUCGUUUCUCUAUCUCCUUCAGUUCUGCUCUGAUCUUAGUUAUUUCUUGUCUUCUGCUAGCUUUUGAAUGCAUUUGCUCUUGCUUCUCUAGUUCUUUUAAUUGUGAUGUUAGGGUGUCAAUUUUAGCUAUAUCCUGCUUUGUCCUGUGGGCAUUUAGUGCUAUAAAUUUCCCUCUAAAUAUUGCCUUUGCUGUGUCCCAGAGAUUCUGGCACUUUGUCUUUGUUCUCAUUGAUUUCAAAGAACUUAUUUAUUUCUGCCUUCAUUGCAUUAUGUACCCAGUAUUCAGGAGUAGGUUGUUCAGUUUCCACGUAGUUGUGCAGUUUUGAGUGAGUUUCUUAAUCCUGAGUUCUAAUUUGAUUGCACUGUGGUCUGAGAGACUGUUUAUGAUUUCUGUUCUUUUGCAUCUGCUGAGUGUUUUACAUCCAAUUAUGUGGUCAAUUUUACAAUAAGUGUGAUGUGGUGCUGAGAAGAAUGUAUAUACUGUUGAUUUGGGGUGGAGAGUUCUGUAGAAGUUUAUUAGGUCCACUUGGUCCAGAGCUGAGUUCAAGUCCUGAAUAUCCUUGUUAAUUUUCUGUCUCGUUGAUCUGUCUAAUAUUGACAGUGGGGUGUUAAAGUCUCCCACUAUUAUUGUGUGGGAGUCUAAGUCUCUUUGUAGGUCUCUAAGAACUUUAUGAAUCUGGGUGCUCCUUUAUUGGGUGAAUAUAUAUUGAGGAUAGUUAGCUCUUCUUGUUGCAUUGAUCCCUUUACCAUUAUGUAAUGCACUUCUUUGUCUUUUUUGAUCUUUGUUAGUUUAAAGUCUGUUUUAUCAGAGACUAGGAUUACAAACCCUGUUUUGUUUGUUUGUUUGUUUUUGUUUUCCCUUUGCUUGGUAAAUAUUCCUCCAUCCCUUUAUUUCGAGCCUAUGUGUGUCUUUGCACGUGAGAUGGGUCUCUUGCAUACAGCACACUGAUGGGUCUUGACUCUAUCUAAUUUGCCAGUCUGCAUCUUUUAAUUGGGGCAUU
rnacentral:lncRNA from 1 species